rnacentral:rRNA from 1 species
UACGUAGGGUGCAAGCGUUGUCCGGAUUUAUUGGGCGUAAAGAGCCCGCAGGCGGCUCAGCAAGUUUCAGGUGAAAUCUCCCGGCUCAACUGGGAGGGGUCCUGGAAAACUGUUGAGCUAGAGGCAGGGAGAGGGAUGUGGAAUUCCCGGUGUAGUGGUGAAAUGCGUAGAUAUCGGGAGGAACACCAGUGGCGAAGGCGGCAUCCUGGCCCUGUCCUGACGCUCAGGGGCGAAAGCGUGGGGAGCAAAC